GACCUCGUAGCUCAGCUGGUAGGGCGUGCACCUACAAAGCGUAGGCGGCAUUCGUGCAUUGGUUCGAAUCCCACCGAGGCUA
rnacentral:tRNA from 1 species